rnacentral:rRNA from 1 species
AGAGUUUGAUCCUGGCUCAGGAUGAACGCUGGCGGCGUGCUUAACACAUGCAAGUCGAGCGAUGAAGCUUCCUUCGGGAAGCGGAUUAGCGGCGGACGGGUGAGUAACACGUGAGUAACCUGCCUCAAAGAGGGGGAUAGCCUUCCGAAAGGAAGAUUAAUACCGCAUAACAUACAGAAUUCGCAUGUUUUCUGUAUCAAAGGAGCAAUCCACUUUGAGAUGGACUCGCGGCGCAUUAGCUAGUUGGUGGGGUAACGGCCUACCAAGGCGACGAUGCGUAGCCGACCUGAGAGGGUGAUCGGCCACAUUGGGACUGAGACACGGCCCAGACUCCUACGGGAGGCAGCAGUGGGGAAUAUUGCACAAUGGGCGCAAGCCUGAUGCAGCCAUGCCGCGUGUAUGAAGAAGGCCUUCGGGUUGUAAAGUACUUUCAGCGGGGAGGAAGGCAUUGUGGUUAAUAACCACAGUGAUUGACGUACCCGCAGAAGAGNCCGC